ensembl:lncRNA
AUGUGCUGUUGCUGCUGCGUGUUCACUCAUAAAGAAUCAGGUGCUGCUGCUGCUGUGUUCGCUCAAAAAGAAUCAGUGUUUGCUGCUUGUUUUCACCUAAAGAAUCAUGUGCGUGCGCUGCUGUGUUCACUCAUAAAGAAUCAUGGGCUGCUGCUGCUGUGUUCACUCAUAAAGAAUCAUGUUGCUGGCUGCUGCUGUGUUUCACUCAUAAAGAAUCAUGUGCUGCUGCUGCUGUGUUCACUCAUAAAGAAUCAUGGGCUGCUGCUGCGUGUGUUCACUCAUAAAGAAUCAUGUGCUGCUGCUGCUGUGUUCGCUCAUAAAGAACAUGGGCUGCUGCUGCUGUGUUCACUCAUAAGAAAAUCAUGUGUUGCUGCUGCUGUUUCGCUCAAAAGAAUCAUGGGCCUUGCUGCUGCUGUGUUCACUCAUAAAGAAUCAUGUGUUGCUGCUGCUGUGUUCGCUCAUAAAGAAUCAUGGGCUGCUGCUGCUGUGUUCACUCAUAAAGAAUCAUGUGUUGCUGCUGUGUUCGCUCAUAAAGAAUCAUGUGCUGCUGCUGUGUUCACUCAUAAAGAAUCUCUUGGUGAAGUCCGUUGGUGUAUUACAGGAAGGGGCCAGCAAUGGGCCGCUUGCUGGUCUGGGAUAUGGUUGGGGCACUGGAGGACUGCAGUCUUGAUUAAAGGGACAGGCUCACCCCCAUAUCAGCCAGGAAGUGUUGCUGUGGCCUGAGGACGAGGAGGGUGAGAAGUUAAGCGGGUCUGCGUGGUGGACAGGCCAGAGGUGACAUUGUGCUGAUUCAGGCUCCCUAAAAUCUCAUGUGAGGAGGGGAGACAGAGUGAGAGAGGGGUCUUACAGGCAGUCAUACAGGCAACCCGUUCUCAGCUUCCUGAACAAAGUCACUGCACUGACAGUGAGCAUGGUUCAGCCUCCACCGGGCCGACCGUCUCCUAAACAACUCUUCCUCCUCCUCUUCAUCACCCCUAUCCCUGCCCUCCUCAUCCUCGUCAUGCAGUCUAGGCGGGCCCUCCUCCCCUAACUGGUUGAGGAGAGGUGGGGAGUGGUCCCAGUCUGAGCGGCCCUCCUCAGCUGGGACUGGAGGACAGGAAGAGGAGGAGGAGGAGGAGGAAGAGCGGUGCUCCCCUCCAUUCAGCCCCAACGCCUCCCUCAGGACCUCGGCCGCAGCCUCUCUCAGCAGGAGAGCUGGAGUGGCCAGGGUGGUCAGGUAGAUGGCUGAGGCUGAUUGGUCCGUUGAGGACACCAGGGCGUGGUCUCUUCCUCCUCUACCCUCCCCAGGAAUCAAGUUGCUGCGGCGCCCAUUCGGCUGGUGGUUGAAGUUGCCUAGCAUCGUGAACAUCCUGUCCACGGUCCAGUCAAAGUUGUCCCAGUCCUCCAGGCUGACGUUGAAGUUGAGUUUGAGAUCAUACGCCUGCUUGUCAAGUCUGUACAAGGGUUCAAGUUCUGACCAGUCCAUUCCCGUUCCUUCUGCACUGGGUGCUUCUGACGGGGCCACUGUCGCCUCCUGGACCCUAUCCCUCCCAGCCUUCCCAAAUCUGUCCUCUGAUGAGACAAGAUCACACAGACAAAACAGUGUCAUCCACAGCAAACCUCUGUCUCCCGUUGUGUCUGUACUCUCAUCACCACCACCACGUGAACACUGCUCCCAGUAAACUGGUCCCAGGACAGAGUAGUAUUCUAUUCUAUAUGAAUGCUUGAAUGGGUUCAUUCUCUGACAUUCACACUAGUUUAUGAGGCAGCUACAUGGAGAAACAGAUAAGACACAUGGACAGCAGCGUAUCAGAAAGAGUGAGAGACAUUGUGAGGCACUGCAGUCUUGUGAGAGUCAACCAAGGCAGAUGCGCUGGGCGGUGGGGGUGGAUGGCGCCCUCUACAGGUAGAGAUGAUUAGAUGACUAAGGCAGAUGCCCUGGUCGGUGGGGGUGGAUGGCCCUCUACACUGUAGAGAUGUUAGAUGACUAGGCGAGUGCUGGGGUGGCGUGGAUGGCGCCCCCUACGGUAGAGAUGAUUAUGAUAAGGCAGAUGCGCUGGGCGGUGGGGGUGGUGGCCCCUCUACAGGUAGAGAUGAGUAGAUGACUAAGCAGAUGUUCGGGGCGGUGGGGGUGAUGAGC